rnacentral:rRNA from 1 species
ACGGGUGAGUAACACGUAUCCAACCUGCCGUCUACUCUUGGACAGCCUUCUGAAAGGAAGAUAAUACAAGAUGGCAUCAUGAGUCCGCAUGUUCACAUGAUUAAAGGUAUUCCGGUAGACGAUGGGGAUGCGUUCCAUUAGAUAGUAGGCGGGGUAACGGCCCACCUAGUCUUCGAUGGAUAGGGGUUCUGAGAGGAAGGUCCCCCACAUUGGAACUGAGACACGGUCCAA